UACGUAGGGUGCAAGCGUUGUCCGGAUUUAUUGGGCGUAAAGAGCUCGUAGGCGGUCUGUUGCGUCGAUUGUGAAAACCCGGGGCUCAACCCCGGGCCUGCAGUCGAUACGGGCAGACUAGAGUUCGGCAGGGGAGACUGGAAUUCCUGGUGUAGCGGUGAAAUGCGUAGAGAUCGGGAAGAACAUCGGUGGCGAAAGCGCUCUACUGGACCGCAACUGACACUCAGGGACGAAAGCUAGGGGAGCGAAUGGG
rnacentral:rRNA from 1 species